UGGCGGGGUAACGGCCCACCAAGGCGAUGAUCAGUAGGGGAACUGAGAGGUUGAUCCCCCACACUGGCACUGAGAUACGGGCCAGACUCCUACGGGAGGCAGCAGUAGGGAAUAUUGGGCAAUGGUCGGAAGACUGACCCAGCCACGCCGCGUGCAGGAGGAAGGCCCUCUGGGUUGUAAACUGCUUUAGCAGGGGAAGAAAAUACUCAUGCGCGAGGAAUUGACGGUACCCUGAGAAUAAGCACCGGCUAACUACGUGCCAGCAGCCGCGGUAAUACGUAGGGUGCAAGCGUUGUCCGGAUUUAUUGGGUUUAAAGAGUGCGUAGGCGGCCAGAUAAGUCAGUGUUAAAAUUUUGCAGCUCAACUGUAGGUAUGGCAUUGAUACUGUUUGGCUUGAAUGUCAUGGAGGUAGCUGGAAUUUAUGGUGUAGCGGUGAAAUGCAUAGAUACCAUAAGGAACGCCGAUAGCGGAGGCAUGUUACCACGUGAUAAUUGACGCUGAGGCACGAAAGUGUGGGGAUCAAACAGGAUUAGAUACCCUGGUAGUCCACACUGUAAACGAUGAUUACUAGAUGCUGGCAAAUUGUUGUCAGUGUUCAAGCGAAAGCGAUAAGUAAUCCACCUGGGGAGUACGACCGCA
rnacentral:rRNA from 1 species